AUUGAACGCUGGCGGCAGGCUUAACACAUGCAAGUCGAGCGGAGAUGAGGUGCUUGCACCUUAUCUUAGCGGCGGACGGGUGAGUAAUGCUUAGGAAUCUGCCUAUUAGUGAGGGACAACAUUCCGAAAGGAAUGCUAAUACCGCAUACGUCCUACGGGAGAAAGCAGGGGAUAUUCGGACCUUGCGCUAAUAGAUGAGCCUAAGUCGGAUUAGCUAGUUGGUGGGGUAAAGGCCUACCAAGGCGACGAUCUGUAGCGGGUCUGAGAGGAUGUUCCGCCACACUGGGACUGAGACACGGCCCAGACUCCUACGGGAGGCAGCAGUGGGGAAUAUUGGACAAUGGGCGUAAGCCUGAUCCAGCCAUGCCGCGUGUGUGAAGAAGGCCUUUUGGUUGUAAAGCACUUUAAGCGAGGAGGAGGCUACCUGGAUUAAUACUCUAGGAUAGUGGACGUUACUCGCAGAAUAAGCACCGGCUAACUCUGUGCCAGCCGCCGCGGUAAGAC
rnacentral:rRNA from 1 species